rnacentral:rRNA from 1 species
AACGAACGCUGGCGGCAUGCCUAACACAUGCAAGUCGAACGAGACCUUCGGGUCUAGUGGCGCACGGGUGCGUAACGCGUGGGAACCUGCCCUUAGGUUCGGAAUAACUCCCCGAAAGGGGUGCUAAUACCGGAUAAUGUCUUCGGACCAAAGAUUUAUCGCCUUUGGAUGGGCCCGCGUUGGAUUAGCUAGUUGGUAGGGUAAAAGCCUACCAAGGCGACGAUCCAUAGCUGGUCUGAGAGGAUGAUCAGCCACACUGGGACUGAGACACGGCCCAGACUCCUACGGGAGGCAGCAGUAGGGAAUAUUGGACAAUGGGCGAAAGCCUGAUCCAGCAAUGCCGCGUGAGUGAUGAAGGCCUUAGGGUUGUAAAGCUCUUUUACUCGGGAUGAUAAUGACAGUACCGGGAGAAUAAGCUCCGGCUAACUCCGUG